rnacentral:rRNA from 1 species
GAGUUUGAUCUUGGCUCAGGAUGAACGCUAGCGGCAGGCCUAACACAUGCAAGUCGAGGGGUAGAACACUUCGGUGUUUGAGACCGGCGCACGGGUGCGUAACGCGUAUGCAAUCUGCCUUGUACUAAGGGAUAGCCCAGAGAAAUUUGGAUUAAUACCUUAUAGUAUAUAGAUGUGGCAUCACAUUUAUAUUAAAGAUUUAUCGGUACAAGAUGAGCAUGCGUCCCAUUAGCUAGUUGGUAUGGUAACGGCAUACCAAGGCAAUGAUGGGUGGGGGUCCUGAGAGGGAGAUCCCCCACACUGGUACUGAGACACGGACCAGACUCCUACGGGAGGCAGCAGUGAGGAAUAUUGGUCAAUGGGCGCAAGCCUGAACCAGCCAUGCCGCGUGCAGGAUGAAGCAUCUAUGGUGUGUAAACUGCUUUUGUACGGGAAGAAACAGCUCUUCGUGAAGAGCCUUGACGGUACCGUAAGAAUAAGGAUCGGCUAACUCCGUG